AAGUCGUAACAAGGUUUCCGUAGGUGAACCUGCGGAAGGAUCAUUACCAAUUCGAAUUGGUGUGCGUUGUGUGUGUGUUCCACACACCACCAAACGCACGCCAAACUCUACCAACCUUUGAUUGUGAACCAUGAGAUUCAAACACAUAGUCUUCCCGUUUUUUGCUUUGCGAAAAGCGGGGAGCAAUUUUAUCCAACCCCAAUUAUAUUCUUCACACCACCACCACGCGUGUGUGUGUGGGGAACAAAAGCAAGCGUUGAGCUCCGAAAGGAAAAAACAGAAUGUCAUGUACAACUUUUAACGGCGGAUCUCUUGGCUCGU
rnacentral:misc_RNA from 1 species